AAACACCACUAUAUGGCUGUGACUGCUAUGCUUAUGCCCUUUUGGCGUCCGGUUAUGUGGAUCUUGUUGUUGAAUCUGGUCUUAAGCCAUACGAUUUUCUUGCGCUCCUACCUGUGAUAGAAGGUGCCGGGGGUGUCAUAACUGAUUGGAAAGGACAUCAGCUCCAGUGGGAGGCUUCUCCAAAUUCACGUGCAACAACUUUUAAUGUAUUGGCAGCUGGGGACAAACGAAUUCAUCAGCAAGCUUUGGAAUCGCUCGAGUGGCAAUGAUGUUUGAGUUGAGCUGAGAUACAGUUCUUUAGUCUCUGCGUUGAUUACAUGUAGGGGUCCUUUAUUGAUGGAUUUAAGGGAAAGAAAUGAAUGCAAAAGAUAACGUAGGAGGAGAGGAUGCAUUCAUCGUCUUUGUAAGAUGUACAUUAGGAAGUAAUUUGCAAGGAGAUAUUUAUAUUGUCCCCUAAUAAAAUGUUUAUCAAGAAGGAUAUGCUCCUUCCAUUUAACUUGUUUGUCGCUUUUCUCCCCUGCUAAUUUACAUCUCUAGAGAAGACCAUCUGAAACGCUUCUGGACCAUAGGUUUCUAUUAACUAUUUAU